AAACCGUAUUGUGGGCAAGAGCUGACAAGAUCCUUGAAUCGCUCCCAACAUUGGAAGAAUGUUUCAUCCUCCCUUUGUGAAAAGUUUAUGAUUGAUUUUCUAAGGGU